AAUCAACGCUGGCGGCGUGCCUCAGACAUGCAAGUCGAACGAUUAAAGCUCUCUUCGGAGAGUGCAUAGAGUGGCGCACGGGUGAGUAACACGUAAGUAAUCUACCUUCGAGUGGGGAAGUAACGUCCGGAAACGGGACGGCUAAUAACCGCAUAAUGCAGCGGCAUCGCAAGAUGACAGUUGUUAAAGGAGCAAUCCGCUUGAAGAGGAGCUUGCGGCAGAUUAGCUAGUUGGUAGGGUAAGUGGCCUACCAAGGCUACGAUCUGUAACCGGUCUUAGAGGACGGUCGGUCACACUGACACU
rnacentral:rRNA from 1 species